rnacentral:rRNA from 1 species
GUGCAAGAGUAACUGCUUGCACCUUGACGGUACCUAACCAGAAAGCCACGGCUAACAAAAUGCCAGCAGCCGCGGUAAUACGUAGGUGGCAAGGCUUGUCCGGAAUUAUUGGGCGUAAAGGGCUCGCAGGCGGUUUCUUAAGUCUGAUGUGACAGCCUCCGGCUCAACCGGGGAGGGUCAUUGGAAACUGGGAAACUUGAGUGCAGAAGAGGAGAGUGGAAUUCCACGUGUAGCGGUGAGAUGCGUAGAGAUGUGGAGGAACACCAGUGGCGAAGGCGACUCUCUGGUCUGUAACUGACGCUGAGGAGCGAAAGCGUGGGGAGCCAACAGGAUUAGAUACCCUGGUAGUCCACGCCGUAUACGAUGAGUGCUAAGUGUUUAGGGGGUUUCCGCCCCUUAGUGCUGCAGCUAACGCAUUAAGCACUCCGCCUGGCGGAGUACGGUCGCAAGACUGAACCUCAAAGGAAUUGACGGGGGCCCGCACAACCGG